AUUGAACGCUGGCGGCAGGCCUAACACAUGCAAGUCGAGCGGAUGAAGGGAGCCUGCUCCUGGAUUCAGCGGCGGACGGGUGAGUAAUGCCUAGGAAUCUGCCUGGUAGUGGGGGAUAACGUCCGGAAACGGGCGCUAAUACCGCAUACGUCCUGAGGGAGAAAGUGGGGGAUCUUCGGACCUCACGCUAUCAGAUGAGCCUAGGUCGGAUUAGCUAGUUGGUGGGGUAAAGGCCUACCAAGGCGACGAUCCGUAACUGGUCUGAGAGGAUGUUCAGUCACACUGGAACUGAGACACGGUCCAGACUCCUACGGGAGGCAGCAGUGGGGAAUAUUGGACAAUGGGCGAAAGCCUGAUCCAGCCAUGCCGCGUGUGUGAAGAAGGUCUUCGGAUUGUAAAGCACUUUAAGUUGGGAGGAAGGGCAGUAAGUUAAUACCUUGCUGUUUUGACGUUACCAACAGAAUAAGCACCGGCUAACUUCGUG
rnacentral:rRNA from 1 species